GGGUUCCGCCCCUCAGCGGGACCGAGCUUGCUAAACCUGCUCAGGGCGCGACAGUGCCCGGACUCAGGCUCUCCGUGAAGGCCUGGUGUGUGGGGCCUUCUGCAGCCCGGUCCCGCAGCCAGCAUUCUCCAAGAGGGGACUCAGAGGGUGGCCCAGCUGCAAGGGCCCUUAGAGCGCCUCUGCCACCUCGCGAGACGCUGCCUCACACCCAAAGAAGGCGUGUCGCCCGGACAGCUGGGCCUCCCCUAAAAUCUGAGGAGCUCUGCCGCAGACAUCGUCCCCUGACAAGAGCCUGAGGCAUGGAUUCGCCACCGAGAGAUAUGGAGAUCCUUGAACGUCAGUUUUUCAAGUUACAACCAAAGUCCAUGUCCUGAAGUUGAUUUCUCUCUUUCAGCUCUCUGGCUCAGACUCUCUCGCGGGCCCCCGCUUUUCCUUCAAGAUGCAAUGAUGUGCGGUUAUUUAACAUGGUGUCAGAGGUUCUCAGCGAUUGGACCCAACCACGUUCUCCAGCUUCCUCUCCACGCCCUCCCUGCGCCCGUGCCACCAUCCUGUCAGAUCCUUUUACCUUCUCCCAGACCUCCCAGCUGCUUUCACCCCCUGUCACAACACGUGUCUCUGCCCAGAACCCCCCAGUUCCUGUGGGAACCGGUCUCAGCUGAGGGAACGGAUGGUUGCUCUGGGCCCAGCUGUGCCCUGGAAGCGCUGAGCAGGAAAUGGGCUCUGCGUAAGAUCAGCACAUCUCCCUUUACCUGGGACUGCCCUGGUCUUAAACCUGAAAGUCCCAUGUCCCAGGAGCU
rnacentral:lncRNA from 1 species